rnacentral:rRNA from 1 species
UGGGGAAUAUUGGACAAUGGGCGCAAGCCUGAUCCAGCCAUGCCGUGUGAGUGAUGAAGGCCCUAGGGUUGUAAAGCUCUUUCACCGGUGAAGAUAAUGACGGUAACCGGAGAAGAAGCCCCGGCUAACUUCGUGCCAGCAGCCGCGGUAAUACGAAGGGGGCUAGCGUUGUUCGGAUUUACUGGGCGUAAAGCGCACGUAGGCGGACUUUUAAGUCAGGGGUGAAAUCCCGGGGCUCAACCCCGGAACUGCCUUUGAUACUGGAAGUCUUGAGUAUGGUAGAGGUGAGUGGAAUUCCGAGUGUAGAGGUGAAAUUCGUAGAUAUUCGGAGGAACACCAGUGGCGAAGGCGGCUCACUGGACCAUUACUGACGCUGAGGUGCGAAAGCGUGGGGAGCAAACAGG